GAUGAACGCUGGCGGCGUGCUUAACACAUGCAAGUCGAACGAAGCACUCUAUUUGAUUUUCUUCGGAAUUGAAGAUUUUGUGACUGAGUGGCGGACGGGUGAGUAACGCGUGGGUAACCUGCCUCAUACAGGGGGAUAACAGUUGGAAACGACUGCUAAUACCGCAUAAGCGCACGGUAUUGCAUGAUACAGUGUGAAAAACUCCGGUGGUAUGAGAUGGACCCGCGUCUGAUUAGCUAGUUGGUGGGGUAACGGCCUAUAAAGGGGACGAUCAGUAUCCGACCGGAGUGGGUGACCGGCCACAUUGGGACUGAGACACGGCCCAAAGUCCUACGGGAGGCAGCAGGGGUGAAUAUUGCACAAUGGGGGAAACCCUGAUGCAGCGACGCCGCGUGAACGAAGAAGUAUUUCGGUAUGUAAAGUUCUAUUAGCAGGGAAGAUAAUGACGGUACCUGACUAAGAAGCACCGGCUAAAUACGUGCCAGCCGCCGCCGUAA
rnacentral:rRNA from 1 species